GGCUGCGAUCGCGGGUGGGAAGGCGGAGGUAGGGCGCACGCAGCGCCCGUUCAGGGGAUCGGGACAACUCCUUUUUCAUUUUAACUGGGCGCAUCCCCCAAAGCGAAUUUGUAGACUGCUGUCGCCACCAGUGUCCACGGACCCUGUCGCGUCCCUGCCUAGAAUGGGUGUCGCGCUCACUUUGCUCGAACCAUUCAUAACUUUCGGGAAGGGAGCCUGCUCUCCUGCAGCUCGCGCGGGGAGAGAAAACUUCUGGGGGAGGACGUGCCGGGCCUGCCCCCGCGCGGUCGCCCUGUGAGGGUGUAGGGGUUGUGUACAAACAAGUGGCUGCUCCGGGGGAGGAAGUAGGAAGAGAGGUCCCCGGCGCCCACGUGCCACGGCGCUUUCAUGGCUGCUCCAAGUGGAAACCGGGCACUGCGAGCCUGCUGGAGCUGGACAGACCUCACACGAUUCGCUUCCUCCCAUCCGCUUUUCCUCCCCUCCCCCUGCGGUCUCUGGGACACAGUUUAUGUUUCCUGGGGCGGCUGCAACUUCGCCUGGAUACACUGUCUAUAAUGAGUCUCGGUCCUGUCGGAGGCUGGCCCGGAGUCUGGCUUGAAGCGCAGGCUGCGCCCUGGGUCUGAGCGGGGUAAAGGAUCCGGUCGCUCGCUCGACCAGGAAGCCAGCCGCUGGGAUGACGGGAUUGAACCCUACUACUGCCAAAACAAUCACUUUCAAAUCCUUCCUCCACUUGAACCCUGAGGACCUGGACCACACAAACACGUCCAAAAACCUUCCUGUUAUUGCUGACAGGCAGCUCAGAGCCAGACACACACUGUGGAGUGAACUGUGUGGCUUCACCCUGCAGGCCCUGCCCUGGGUGCUGAGUGCCAGGAGCAUAGGAAAGACCUCCCCACAGCGCCUCUGCGCCCAGCCCUGCCAGGCCGGAUCCAGGAGCUGCAGAAGCAGCCGUGCUCGCAGGGCCUCACGCCACAUCCUGCUGUCCCCACCAGCCCGGGAGGCCGCCAUCCUGUCCCCAGGUCCAGAACAGGCACGGAGCUGAGUCAGAGCCUGGAGUCCAAAAAGGAAAUUUUAGGGAAGAGGCCUUCUUAAAGAUGUCCAGCAAGACCGCCAGCACCAACAACAUAGCCCAGGCCCGUAGGACCGUGCAGCAGCUGCGGCUGGAGGCCUCCAUUGAGAGAAUAAAGGUGAGACCGGCGGGCUGGGGUUGCUGGCUUGCUGGUCAGUGCCCCCGCUCUGGUGGGGCUGGGACAUCUGUCAGAGGCGAAAGGUUGCUGAAUUCCCCUUGCUCCAGGAUUUCCCUGAAGCAGAUGAUAGCCUCAGGAUCUUAAUUUUCAUUUCCUGCCUAUUUCAAAAGAGCCAAGGUGCUGGGCAUGGUGGCGCAUGCCUGUCAUCCCAGAACUUGAAAGGCUGAGGCAGGAGGAUCCCAGGAGUUCAAGGCCAGCCUGAAAUACAUAACAGGAUGAGCACCUGCAGCUUUAGGACCCUGGUGAAUGAAGCCAGGCACGUUUCUGAAGUCACCUGAUUCUCCCCCACCCCCACCCCGAGGGCCAGGCGGCCAGAGUGCUGGGCUGCCAACUCCCAGGGUUCCCUGGGCACAGAAGCUGUCCCCUGAUAAAUUCCUGGGGCCUGGAGCCCCGGGCCGAUCGGUCACUGCCCAGCCUGCAUUCCUCACCCAGACCCUGGAGACGUGCAUGGCGCCUUCUGUGUCCCCACGCAUGUGCCCAGCGCAGCCCAGCCUCCAGCCCGCAGUGUCCUGCUCCGGCCUGGCCCACUUCUGGUCUGUCUUUCUUGGGUAGAGAGGAAGACGCCACAGCCUCCUGUGGCCCGCACACGCGCUGCCUGCCUUCCUGUUCUCACCACGCUGCCCUGUGGGGCUGUCCAGCCCCGAGCCCGAGUGACCAGGCUGCAGCAGUCGUUCGCAUCGGGGCCUGCAGCGCCCUUGCACAGGCA
rnacentral:lncRNA from 1 species